GUGGACGUAGCGCAGGAAGCGCACUUUAGCAACAAGGAUACGUGGGACAGCUGCCAGGACGGCAAGCAGAUCAAGGAUGUCAGCAAACAGUCUGCAAAGACCCCGCAAUGCGGGGUUUU
rfam:Pseudomonadales bacterium RIFCSPHIGHO2_02_FTLL_60_43 rifcsphigho2_02_scaffold_4529, whole genome shotgun sequence.